rnacentral:rRNA from 1 species
CCUACGGGUGGCAGCAGUGGGGAAUAUUGCACAAUGGGCGCAAGCCUGAUGCAGCGACGCCGCGUGAGGGAUGACGGCCUUCGGGUUGUAAACCUCUGUUAGCAUCGAAGAAGCGAAAGUGACGGUAGGUGCAGAGAAAGCGCCGGCUAACUACGUGCCAGCAGCCGCGGUAAUACGUAGGGCGCGAGCGUUGUCCGGAAUUAUUGGGCGUAAAGAGCUUGUAGGCGGUUGGUCGCGUCUGCUGGGAAAGGCUGGGGCUUAACCCUGGUUUUGCAGUGGGUACGGGCUAACUAGAGUGCAGUAGGGGAGACUGGAAUUCCUGGUGGAGCGGUGGAAUGCGCAGAUAUCAGGAGGAACACCGAUGGCGAAGGCAGGUCUCUGGGCUGUAACUGACGCUGAGAAGCGAAAGCAUGGGGAGCGAACAGGAUUAGAUACCCUAGUAGUC